rnacentral:sRNA from 1 species
UAACUUGUAUCAUUAAAUUGCAGGAGACAUCGAAGAACUUUUUGCUGAAGAAGAUAAUGAUGCUACAAAGAUGACAAGUAGUUCAGGAGUUGGAGAUUCUAACAUAUGAUGAGAAGUUUUUUUUGCUCAGUUUUUUUUGGACAAAUAUCGGUAACAAUGUUUUAUAUUUCAGCAAAAUGACAAGAAACAAUGUUUUAUAUUUCAGCAAAACAAUAGUGUUAUUAUCUUAUAAUUGUUUUUGUUUGAAAAACCUUUCUCUUUAAAUAUAAAGAAAAAACUUAAGGGCUACAAAGGGCCAGAAAAGGGCUCAACCCUGUUUUAAUUUUUUUAGGGCUUAAAAAGGGGUAGGGCUCACUUAGGGCUGAGCUUUAAAUAAAUAGGGCUGGGUUGGGCUGGGAAACCUUUUUUAACAUCCCUAAUGAUGAUGAUAAGAGAUGCGUUUUAAGCUUUUUGGGGAGUCUUUUUUUUUUGGUGGAAUGAGGGAGACUAUGUCUCCCAUUUUAUUAAAGAAAACUAAAAGAAAUUACAAUCUAACAAGUCGCAGGCAUGAGAGCCCUCUAGCGUCAUCCAGCAUAAUCGAAUUAACAAAAUCUGGCUUAGUAUAAAAAAAAUGAAAACCUAAAGGAAGAGAGAACGCAUAGUUUGCUAACCCAUCCGCAAGGCGGUUAGCCUCCCUAUACACGUAUGAAACUCGGAUUAUCCAGUCCUUUGAAAUGAAGCCAUAGCACAACCGUACUAGGAAAGACAGUGGAUGUGCAUCGCUAAUCCCUGUCGUCAAAAAGCCCACCACAAUCUCAGAAUCCACCUCAAGCCUGACUCUCGGAGAUCGUCGUUCCCAAGCCAUGUAUAACCUAUAGUAAACACCCCAUAGCUUUUCGGGGAGUCUUGGAUAGAGUUAAAAUCAUCUAUACCAUUUCUCCUAAGCUUUUUGAUGCAGUGGCGCAACAUUAAACCCCAAUCUCAUUUUCUUCAGUCUGCAGUUUGGUUUAUAAAUAAACUAUCUAUCACUUGAUUAAUAAAUUAAUCAAAGAUUUUUGUUGAUAAUUUGGGUUUAACUGGAUAAAAGGGUUAAACCACCAGACUCUGUCAACAGUAGGGAAUAAAUAUCAUCUUUAUCUUUUAUGUUUUCAUAAUAAGUAUGAGCAGCCUCAAUACUCAUAUUACAUUUUCAAUUUUCAACAAAAUUGUUAAUAGGAGAAGACUAAGUAUAAUACUAUUCAACAACUGUUCAAUAAAACAAAAACUAGGAAACAAAUGGAUUCAACAAGUAAAGGAUGAUAAGAGUUGAAAACUCAUAUAUAUCUAACUAUCUCUUUAUUAUUAAAAGGGAAGUACAAAUUGAAAUUUUGUCUAAUUUGGCCUUAAUUUAGAUUUCAAUUUUGGAUUUUGUUCUUUGCUAUUUAAAAUCAUUAAGGAUAAUUUGGUCUUAACAAUCUCCUAAACUUUACAUGAUCCGAUUCAAUCUAAACCGUUCAAUAAAAUUAAUUUCCUUCAAUCUAAAAUGUUCAACAAAAAUAAGGAAUCUAUGUCGUUUUUGAAAUCAAAGUAUGAUCACAUUCCAUCCCUGAAAAUACUAUAUUCAAUCACGAAAUCAAUAAUCAAUAAUAUUCAAAUUAUAUAUUACGAUUCUUCACUAAUCACUAGAAAUUUAUAUUUAUAAAUUUAAGAUAU